UACGGGGGGGGCAAGCGUUGUUCGGAAUUACUGGGCGUAAAGGGCUCGUAGGUGGCCAACUAAGUCAGACGUGAAAUCCCUCAGCUUAACUGGGGAACUGCGUCUGAUACUGGAUGGCUUGAGUUUGGGAGAGGGAUGCGGAAUUCCAGGUGUAGCGGUGAAAUGCGUAGAUAUCAGGAAGAACACCCGUGGCUAAGGCGGCUCUCUAGUACGGUACUGACGCUGAGACGCGAAAGCGUGGGGAGCGAACAGG
rnacentral:rRNA from 1 species